UCCAGUGAGCACUUCCUGUCGCCUCUGUUCACUUCCAGAAGAUCUGUGUGUGUGUGUGAUCUCUGUGCUGUGGUCUGAUCCGUCACUGCCCACAUCUGGCAGGAAUUUGUGCUGGAAUGGAGAGAUUUGAGAAGACAGAGAGAGAGGGAGCAAGCUACUAGAUGACAAUUAAUCAGGCUUCAAAAGUGGACACUCCACCGAGGCUGCCCUGCUGUCUGUCACUGAGUCGCUGAGACAGGUGAAAGCUGGAUCCAGAUCAUCCAUCCUGAUUCUACUGGACCUAUCCGCUGCCUUCAACACAGUCAACCAUCAGAUCCUCCUGCUCAUCUUCUCUACUCUGGGCAUCACAGGAACUGUGCUUGGCUGGUUUAAGUCCUAUCUCUCAGCCCAACGACACCACAGUGACUGCUCGAAUCUCUGCCUUUUUGGCAGACAUCUCGGCCUGGAUAAAGGAUCACUACCUGCAACUCAUCCUAUCGAAGACUGAGCUCCUCGUUUUUCCAGCCAACCCUGCUGUUGAGCACAACAUCACCAUUCAGCUGGGUUAAUCUACAACAACAGAUUCCAAAACGGUCAGAAAUCUCGACAACCAACUCAAUUUCACCGACCACAUCUCAAAGACAGCACGAUCAUGUAGAUUUGCACUCUACAACAUCAGGAAGAUGAGACUCUUCCUCUCUGAACAUGCCACACAACUACUUGUUCAAUGUCUUGUCAUAUCUAGACUGGACUACUGUAAUGCUCCCAUUGCCAGCAUUCAUGCAUGCACAGUUAGGCCUCUACAAAUGAUCCAAAAUGCCGCAGCAUGGCUGGUUUUCAGUGAACCCAAAUGAGUGCAUGUUACACCACUCCUUGUCUCUCUACACUGGCUGCCGGUUGAUGCACGUAUCAGGUUCAAGGCUCUGAUGAUGGCAUACAGAACAGUCACUGGGUCUGUGCCAGCUUACUUAAAAUCAUUCCUGGAAUGCUAUGUUCCCACCAGAAGCCUGCGGUCUGCAAAUGAGUGGCGCCAAGUGGUAACACCAACACCCAAAACACAAAGAGGCACCAAAUCACUUUCACGGACUCUCUGCUUCACUGUACCUCUGUGGUGGAACAACCUUCCCAACUUAAUCUGAAGCAGACUCCCUCUCUGUCUUCAAAAAACAGCUAAAGACACAACUUUUUCAUGAACACUUGACCAUAAAAUAACAAAAGUAAUAAAAAAAAAUUGGCUAAUACUUUUCUAAUGCAGUUGAAACUUUGUAAUGCAGCACUUCUCGUAUUACUGCCUCCUUAAGAUGAAUUGCUUUUGUUGUGUCCUUCCUCAUUUUGUAAGUUGCUUUGGAUAAAAGUGUCUGCUAAAUGAAUAGAUGUAAAUGUAAUGAGUGUAAAUAGCAGCGUAAGUGUUCAUAAGAGUACUCAUGGGUACAGUCGUCGAACGAGGAUAUUUUCAGCUUGACUCUUGUUUUCCUUACAAACCACAAUCACACCAUCAUCUGUCUCUCAUCUCUCUGUCUGAUUUUUAUUUACUUUAUCUCUCUCUGUUUUUCAUCUCACUCCCAAGCUCUUUCUAGAGUACUUUAAAGAACAGAUAUGACACACAUUGAUGAAUGAUACAGCACACAAGGUUGAGUGUUGAGGUGAGACGUGUUUGUCAGUGUUUCUAAUGACUCCAUGAUAUCUAUCAAGCGUCCACUGAGUCAAAACAACUCUAUCCAAAAGACAGAGACAAACAGCAUUUUAUAUGUUCUUUUCUGGAUUUAUGUACAUUGUUUUACACUGUUUGAUCUCUA